AUCUAAAGCUAUAUAUUGGCCAGAGACCGAUNGCGCCCAAGUAGAGUGAUCGAAAGAUGAAAAGCCCUUUGAAAAGAGAGUUAAACAGUAUGUGAAAUUUUUGAAAGGGAAGCNCUUGCAAUCAGACUUGCGGGGUGACGGCUCCCCNCNCCCCUCCGGGUGGGGCUACUCCGUCACUUCCAGGCCAGCAUCGGUUUGGGUGGUCGGUCAAAGACUGCGGGAAUGUAUCUACCCUCCGGGGUCGACUUAUAGCCCGGGGUGCAAUGCGGCCCACCCGGACCGAGGAACGCGCUUCGGCUCGGAUGCUGGCGUAAUGGUUGUAAGCGGCC
rnacentral:rRNA from 1 species